ACCGUUGGGCAUGAGCUUCACGACGAGCCGCGGGUAGGCGAUGUUGGAGCAGCCCACCUCCGUGCCGCACACGCGCCUGCACACCUCAGGCACCACGCACGCCACCUCGUCUGCCAGAGAGAGGCCACCGCGCCGUUAGGACGGGGCCUGGUCUGGGAAUCCCAGGAGGCGCAGCCCUAUACCCGCACCUGGUCGCUGCACCAGUACCAGCCCGAGACGAUUGUGAGUCCGAGGAGCAGCGCGGGCCACGGCAGAUCCCCGGUCACGGGGUGCCGGAGCAGGUGGUAGGAGUCGGGCCGGGGUCGAUAGCAGAAGCUGGAGAUGUUUCCCACGGCUGGAUCCUCGGACACCGUCAGCGAAGUCGCUGCUCCCAGGUAUUUGUCGAAGAGACCCGAAUACCCGCCCACCUCGUGGAAGGCUGCCGGGCAAGGCCGUCAGGGGACCCUCCUUAGGACCCUCAGACCGGAGACGCGCAACGGCCCCGCGCGCAGGCCGAGAGCUCCGCGACCAUGCCCUCCGCGCCCCUCCCUGGUAGGCGAGCCCCUACCGUAACCCAUGAGGAUGCAGGCGCCCCCCAGAAUGACGAAGGUCUGUACCGUGUCCGUGUACAUCAGCGCGGCCAGCCCUCCUGCAACAGGCCGGGGUCAGGGGACAGCCCAGCUGUUUAUGUUACAGGCUGGCCUUAGCAAUAAGGCGUCUUUGUGGGAAUUUGAAAGAGUUCCCCUUCCUGGAGAAUAAAUUUCAAAACGAUA
rnacentral:lncRNA from 1 species